rnacentral:rRNA from 1 species
AGGACGAACGCUGGCGGCAUGCCUAACACAUGCAAGUCGAACGAUAAGGCCCCUUCGGGGGUACAUAAGUGGCGAACGGGUGAGUAACACGUGGGUAACCUGCCCUUCACUGGGGGACAACCGAGGGAAACUUCGGCUAAUACCGCAUGAUGUGCGACGUCAUAAGGCGACGUACCAAAACUCCGGUGGUGAAGGAUGGGCCCGCGGCAGAUUAGCUUGUUGGUGGGGUAAAGGCCUACCAAGGCGACGAUCUGUAGCUGGUCUGAGAGGACGAUCAGCCACACUGGGACUGAGACACGGCCCAGACUCCUACGGAGGCAGCAGUGGGAAUCUUGCGCAAUGGGCGAAAGCCUGACGCAGCAAUGCCGCGUGAGGGAGAAGGUCUUAGGAUCGUAAACCUCUUUCAGUAGGACGAAAACAGACGUACCUACAGAAGAAGCCCCGGAUAACUACGUGCCAGCCAGCCGAC